rnacentral:rRNA from 1 species
UACGAAGGGGGCUAGCGUUGCUCGGAUUGACUGGGCGUAAAGGGCGCGUAGGCGGUUCGUACAGUCAGACGUGAAAUUCCUGGGCUCAACCUGGGGGCUGCGUUCGAUACGUGCGGACUAGAGUGGGGAAGAGGGUCGUGGAAUUCCCAGUGUAGAGGUGAAAUUCGUAGAUAUUGGGAAGAACACCGGUGGCGAAGGCGGCGACCUGGUCCUUGACUGACGCUGAGGCGCGAAAGCGUGGGGAGCAAACAGG